GAUGAACGCUGGCGGCGUGCCUAAUACAUGCAAGUCGAGCGAACGGACGAGAAGCUUGCUUCUCUGAUGUUAGCGGCGGACGGGUGAGUAACACGUGGAUAACCUACCUAUAAGACUGGGAUAAAUUCGGGAAACCGGAGCUAAUACCGGAUAAUAUUUUGAACCGCAUGGUUCAAAAGUGAAAGACGGUCUUGCUGUCACUUAUAGAUGGAUCCGCGCUGCAUUAGCUAGUUGGUAAGGUAACGGCUUACCAAGGCAACGAUGCAUAGCCGACCUGAGAGGGUGAUCGGCCACACUGGAACUGAGACACGGUCCAGACUCCUACGGGAGGCAGCAGUAGGGAAUCUUCCGCAAUGGGCGAAAGCCUGACGGAGCAACGCCGCGUGAGUGAUGAAGGUCUUCGGAUCGUAAAACUCUGUUAUUAGGGAAGAACAUAUGUGUAAGUAACUGUGCACAUCUUGACAGUACCUAAUCAGAAAGCCACGGCUAACUACGUG
rnacentral:rRNA from 1 species